GGUUUUAUGAGCGGCACUAAAUGCCCUCAUAAUCCAUUGGUCGCUGGUUCGAAUCCAGCUGGGCCCA
rnacentral:tRNA from 1 species